rnacentral:rRNA from 1 species
GAAACUGGCAGUAAUACCGGAUAACAUCUUCGGAUCAAAUGGUGUGAUUCCGCUCGAGGAUUGGACCGCGUACUAUUAGCUUGUUGGUGGGGUAACGGCCCACCAAGGCUGCGAUGGUUACCGGGUGUGAGAGCAUGGCCCGGCUCACUGGGACUGAGACACUGCCCAGACAUCUACGGAUGGCUGCAGUCGAGAAUCUUCGGCAAUGGACGAAAGUCUGACCGAGCGACGCCGCGUGCGGGAUGAAGGCCCUCGGGUUGUAAACCGCUGUCAGUUAGGAGGAAAUCCAUGGGGGUUCUCCCUCAUGGUUGACCGAUUUUCAGAGGAAGGACGGGCUAAGUUCGUGCCAGCAGCCGCGGUAAGACGAACCGUCCAAACGUUAUUCGGUAUCACUGGGCUUAAAGCGUGCGUAGGCGGCUUGGUAGGUGAGAUGUGAAAGCCCACGGCUCAACCGUGGAAUUGCGUUUCAAACCCCCAAGCUCGAGGAAGAUAGGGGUGAUGGGAACUUAUGGUGGAGCGGUGAAAUGCGUUGAUAUCAUAGGGAACACCGGUGGCGAAAGCGCAUCAC